rnacentral:rRNA from 1 species
AUUGAACGCUGGCGGCAUGCCUUACACAUGCAAGUCGAACGGCAGCACGGGUGCUUGCACCUGGUGGCGAGUGGCGAACGGGUGAGUAAUACAUCGGAACGUACCUUAUCGUGGGGGAUAACGCAGCGAAAGCUGUGCUAAUACCGCAUACGCCCUGAGGGGGAAAGCGGGGGAUCGCAAGACCUCGCGCGAUCAGAGCGGCCGAUGCCUGAUUAGCUUGUUGGUGGGGUAAAAGCCCACCAAGGCGACGAUCAGUAGCUGGUCUGAGAGGACGAGCAGCCACACUGGGACUGAGACACGGCCCAGACUCCUACGGGAGGCAGCAGUGGGGAAUUUUGGACAAUGGGGGCAACCCUGAUCCAGCAAUGCCGCGUGAGUGAAGAAGGCCUUCGGGUUGUAAAGCUCUUUUGUCAGGGAAGAAACACCGGCUCUAACACAGUCCGGGAAUGACGGUACCUGAAGAAUAAGCACCGGCUAACUACGUGCCAGCAGCCGCCGUAA